AAUAAUCGACAGCGAGGACGAGUUCGUCCGGGGCCGAGUACAGGAAAUCGAUCGAAGGGGAGUAACCAACGCUCUCUGAGCCGUAAGCGACGGUUAAUUCGGCACGGAAGACAGGACCGGCGCGAGUCAUUGGUCACCCGGAACCCGGAAAUCAGACACGACCGGGAAGUCAUCCGGACCCUGUGGAUGCUGAUCAUUCAUUGAACGGGUCGCUCCAACUGUUCAACGACGAUCAGUCAGAGGUCGAAGGAGUAGGGGACCCGCUCGUUGAUUCUUUAACUCACCAGACGCCUCAGCUGAU